rnacentral:rRNA from 1 species
UACGGAGGGGCUAGCGUUAUUCGGAAUUAUUGGGCGUAAAGGGCGCGUAGGCGGCCCGGUAAGUCAAAGGUGAAAUCCCUCGGCUCAACUGAGGAACUGCCUUUGAAACUGUCGGGCUUGAGGCCGGGAGGGGUAGCGGAAUUCCCAGUGUAGCGGUGAAAUGCGUAGAUAUCAGGAGGAACACCUGCGGUGUAGACGGCUUACUGGACCAUAACUGACGCUGAGGCACGAAAGCGUGGGUAGCAAACAGG